rnacentral:rRNA from 1 species
AUUGAACGCUGGCGGAAUGCUUUACACAUGCAAGUCGAGCGGCAGCGCGGGGCAACCUGGCGGCGAGCGGCGAACGGGUGAGUAACACAUCGGAACGUGCCCAGACGUGGGGGAUAGCCCGGCGAAAGCCGGAUUAAUACCGCAUACGAUCUAAGGAUGAAAGCGGGGGAUCGCAAGACCUCGCGCGGAUGGAUGAGCCGAUGUCGGAUUAGCUAGUUGGUGGGGUAAAGGCCUACCAAGGCGACGAUCCGUAGCUGGUCUGAGAGGAUGAUCAGCCACACUGGGACUGAGACACGGCCCAGACUCUUACGGGAGGCAGCAGUGGGGAAUCUUGGACAAUGGGCGAAAGCCUGAUCCAGCCAUGCCGCGUGAAUGAUGAAGGCCCUAGGGUUGUAAAAUUCUUUCGACGGGGAAGAUAAUGACGGUACCCGUAGAAGAAGCUCCGGCUAACUUCGUGCCAGCAGCCGCGGUAAGUCUCCG